AGAGUUUGAUCCUGGCUCAGAUUGAACGCUGGCGGCAUGCCUUACACAUGCAAGUCGGACGGUAACAGGUCUUCGGAUGCUGACGAGUGGCGAACGGGUGAGUAAUACAUCGGAACGUGCCCGAUCGUGGGGGAUAACGAAGCGAAAGCUUUGCUAAUACCGCAUAAGAUCUACGGAUGAAAGCAGGGGACCGCAAGGCCUUGCGCGAACGGAGCGGCCGAUGGCAGAUUAGGUAGUUAGUGGGGUAAAAGCUUACCAAGCCGACGAUCUGUAGCUGGUCUGAGAGGACGACCAGCCACACUGGGACUGAGACACGGCCCAGACUCCUACGGGAGACAGCAGUGGGGAAUUUUGGACAAUGGGCGAAAGCCUGAUCCAGCCAUGCCGCGUGCAGGAUGAAGGCCUUCGGGUUGUAAACUGCUUUUGUACGGAACGAAAAGACUCUGGUUAAUACCUGGGGUCCAUGACGGUACCGUAAGAAUAAGCACCGGCUAACUACGUGCCAGCAGCCGCGGUAAU
rnacentral:rRNA from 1 species